rnacentral:rRNA from 1 species
AGAGUUUGAUCCUGGCUCAGGAUAAACGCUGGCGGUGCGCCUUAUGCAUGCAAGUCGAACGGGGUUACAGUCUUCGGAUUGUAACCUAGUGGCGGACGGCUGAGUAACGCGUAAGUAACCUGCCUUAGAGUGGGAAAUAACCUGCCGAAAGGCAUGCUAAUGUCCCAUGUGGUAACGAAGCAAAUGCUUUGUUAUUAAAGCCUUAGGGUGCUCGAAGAGGGACUUGCGUCUGAUUAGCUAGUUGGUAGGGUAAUGGCCUACCAAGGCGAUGAUCAGUAGCUGGUCUGAGAGGAUGGUCAGCCAGAUGGGGACUGAGACACGGCCCCAACUCCUACGGGAGGCAGCAGCAAGGAAUCUUGGGCAAUGAGCGAAAGCUUGACCCAGCGACACCGCGUGAGGGAUGAAGGCCUUCGGGUUGUAAACCUCUUUUCUUGGGGAAGAAUUCUGACGGUACCCAAGGAAUAAGCCUCGGCUAACUACGUGCCAGCAGCCGCGGUAAGACGUAGGAGGCGAACGUUAUUCGGAUUUACUGGGCGUAAAGGGAGCGUAGGCGGUUCCUUAAGUCAGAUGUGAAAUCUUCUGAUUCAAUCAGAAGGCGUCAUUUGAUACUGAGGGACUUGAGAGCAACAGAGGGAAAUGGAAUCCCCAGUGUAGCGGUGAAAUGCGUAGAUAUUGGGGAGAACACCAGUGGCGAAGGCGAUUUCCCAGGUUGUUUCUGACGCUGAGGCUCGAAAGCGUGGGGAGCGAAGCGGAUUAGAUACCCGCGUAGUCCACGCCGUAAACGGUGGACACUAGAUAUGGGGAGUAUCGACCCUUUCCGUGUCGAAGCUAACGCCUUAAGUGUCCCGCCUGGGGAGUACGGCCGCAAGGCUAAAACUCAAAGGAAUUGACGGGGGACCGCACAAGCAGCGGAGCGUGUGGUUUAAUUCGAUGCUACACGAAGAACCUUACCAGGACUUGACAUGGCAGAGUAGGAAUCCGAAAGAGACGACUGUAUCAGUCAGGAGUUGUUCACAGGUGCUGCAUGCUGUCGUCAGUCUGCGGAGGUGUUUGGGUAAGUCCCGCACGAGCGCACCUGUUCUUUGUUAAAUUCUCAUAGAACUGCUGGUACAGCAGAGAGAAGAUGACGUCAGUCAGCAUG